ensembl:lncRNA novel transcript, sense overlapping SPAG6
GCUUUUAUUAAUAUAAAUUUGUAGAUUUGAAAUUUUUUCAAAAUUCUCUUUGUGCUACUGUCUAAACUAAACAAUAUAGGAAAAUUAUAAUAGAGCAGAAACAUCGCAUAUAAGCCUAAUUUUGACAUUGGAUAUAGAAAUAGAAGGAAGAGAAUUGUGAGUCAUUUUAUUGGCCUUAUAUUAAUAUUCAGUGAGCCAGAUGCAAUAGAAACAUGGAGAAAAUAUAUAAAAAAGAGAAUUCCAGCCAGGUGUGUGAGCCACCAUACCCGGCCACAAAUUUAUAUUUUAAAAGUUUGUAUAACAUAAAAUGUGUAAAACCGUUAAAUAAAGGAAAUAUUAAAAUCUUUUUUGAAGAAAACAAAAUUAAUUUUUAUACGUGGAAUAUGUGUCCCUUCACGAAGAAUGGUAUUUUAUAUAAGUUUAAGGUAACUUUCAAUGCAAUUUUGUUACAAAGUUACAGAAAGAUGCA